GGAGGGAACACUGGGGACUUAGUGUUUAUUGGGUACAGAGUUUCAGUUUUGCAAAAUGAAAAAGUUCUGAAGAUGGAUGGUGCUGAUGGCUGCAUAACAAUAUGAAUGUAUUAACACUACUCAAUUGUAAAAUAAGGUUCAAAUGAUACAUUUUAUUUCAUGUAUGUGUCAAUCUCAAUAAACAGAUUUGUUCAGGCAAGAACAUUGAUUAGAUGGGAAUAAUACUAUUAGAGCAUCAUCAAUUGAAUAUUAACAAAGUGCUCAUAGUUUAACUUUCUCCUUUCUAGCUCAGUGAAGAAUGGACCAUUUUAAAACUAUGACAGAACGUUAUUUAUAUAGCUGAUGUGUUUGGGAAUUGGAAGAAGGCAGAUUCCUUCACCAGCUGUAGCUCCCCUUCAGCAAUCUCAUAUACUCUCCAAGUUUCUCUUUCCUGGGUCACCUGUUUAAUCACUCCCAGGACUUAAUCUUCCACCUAUAUGUUGACCACUCACAAAUCUAUGUCUCCAUCUCACAAGCUUAUUCUUGACUCCAGACCCAAGUAUUCAACUGCCUGCUGAAUAUGUGUGGUCAGAUGUCAUAGGAACUUCAGCUUCAGUAUAUCAAAUACAAACCCCUGUUCUCCCCGACUGCCUCCUACUCCCCACUGGCUUUUCUCUGGCAUUCCCUUCUCAGUUAUCAGCACCUGGUGGUCAAGGUGCUCAAGCCCCAAACUCCAUCUAGCUAACUUCUGCCUCUUCCUCACCACCUUCUUCCAGUAACUCAUCCAGCACUGCUGUGUCUCCUUCCUUCCUAUCCCUCCAGUCCCUCCCCUUCUCUCCAUCAUGGCUGUCACUGCAUGGUUCAGGCUCUCUGCCUCUCCCGAAACCACUCCCACGUUGCUGCGAGGUGAACUGACUACCCUUGGCAGCCACUGGAUUAAAAUCUUUCGUCACCUUCUGCAUGAUAAAACCCACACCCUUUAGCAUGUAACAAGGUCUUAAUGAUUCUGCCAGACUUUGCUUGGGGGUGGCCUGCACUUGCGGGCCACUCCAGUCACUUCACAGGCGCUCAGUAAAUCUCAGUUGAAUCAGUCAUCAUCAUCAUCAUCAUCAUCAUCAUCAUCAUCAAUUUUUCAGUCCGGUUCCUGUCUCCUUUUCCGCAUCCUCCAUUCAUAGCCUUCACUCUAGCCAUGCUUCACUUGUGGUUUUCCUGGGCAAGAUAAGCUAUUCCUCCCUGUCUUUGCAGAGUUUAAAUGACUCACUUGUUCAAGGACCCACCAUUGUCAUGUGGACCCGGAGCAAAGUACUUAAUCUCACUAAGCUUCACGUUCCUCAUCUGUAAAACGGCAAACAAGAACCUCACAAAAUUGUAGUGAGGCUACAAUGAAAUAACAUACGCAAAAGCAGUUUAUAAAUCAUAAACUUACUCUAAAAUGUUAUUUUGUAAUUCUGCAAGCUUGUCUUAAAUGCCAUCACCUCCAAGGAGCCUUUUUGCCUUCGUAAGCAGAAGCCAUCUCUCUCGUCUUGGAAGCCCCACCAUGCACAGCCUGCGGGCCCUCAUCACACUCCUUGAGUUAUUUGAGUUCAAGUCCCGUGUUUACAACCAGACCACAAACUCCAUGAAGUCAGCAUCCAUUCCUGUCUGCGGUUCUCUCUCCACCCCUAUCCAGGUCUCAAGGGUCUGGAGUCUUUCAAAGAGAACACAUUCUGAGAUUCGAGGAGGCAGAGACAAAAAGGUCCAUAGCAAGGUGCCAGGGAGGCUUCUGUUUGGGGUGUCCCUUCGGAUCACAGAUCCCUCACCUGGUGAUGAGUCAACCCAGCACCACCCCACUGCAGGGCUGGAAUGACAGUAACGGGCCCACCUGCUGCCUCUGCUCGUGCCGGCACCCCAGUCAGACAUUGGAAGUUGAUCACGGCUCUGUCCUGCUGAGCCUGGAGUGUUCCAGUGCCUUUCCUGUCAGAGCUCCAGGCAACCACUACUAGCUGAUCAAUUUUAGCCCAAGAGAUAAACAUCAUUACCCUCCAGUAAGCUCAGAGACAACCCAAUAGCUGUCCUGAAGUCAUUACAGAGCAAGAUAAAAGACUAAAAGAGGGAGGAAUCAUUUCAGAUCUGCCAAGUGAGUUGAUUGGACUUAAAGGGCCAGUCAAACCCUGGCUGCCGGCUCAUGGCAGGUUCUUGCUGAGGACAAAUGCCCAGCCUAUAUUUAUGCAAAGAGAUUUUGUUCCAAACUUAAGGUCAAAGAUAUCUAAAGACAUCCCCCUCAGGAACCCCUCUCAUGGAGGAGGGUGCCUGAGGGUCUUGGUUUCCCACUGCAUCCCCCACCUCAAUUUCCCUGGUGCCCAGCCACUUGUGUCUUCAGGGUUCUCUUUCUCUCACUAAAAACGAGCCAACGCAGUGUCCGGGCUCCUCUCCCCAACAAAGGGCUUAUGCGUAAUUAAAAAGGAUUAUGCUUUGAAGGGGAAAAGUAGCCUUUAAUCACCAGAAGGGCACAGUGGCUGGAGCUGGAGGCGCUCUUAGCGGCGUUUAUGUCCUUUGCUGUCUGGGGGACCUCAACUCUGACCAAUCUGGUCUUCGUGUGGUCAUUAGCAUGGGCUUCGUGAGACAGAUACAGCUUUUGCUCUGGAAGAACUGGACCCUGCGGAAAAGGCAAAAGAUUCGCUUUGUGGUGGAACUCAUCUGGCCUUUAUCUUUAUUUCUGGUCUUGAUCUGGUUAAGGAACGCCAACCCGCUCUAUAGCCAACAUGAAUGCCAUUUUCCUAACAAGGCGAUGCCCUCAGCAGGAAUGCUGCCGUGGCUCCAGGGGAUCUUCUGCAAUGUGAACAAUCCCUGCUUUCAAAGCCCCACCCCAGGAGAAUCUCCUGGAAUUGUGUCAAACUACAACAACUCCAUCUUAGCAAGGGUGUAUCGAGAUUUUCAAGAACUCCUCAUGAAUGCACCAGAGAGCCAGCACCUUGGCCAUAUUUGGACAGAGCUCCGCAUCUUGUCCCAAUUCAUGGACACCCUCCGGACUCACCCGGAGAGAAUUGCAGGAAGAGGAAUACGGAUAAGGGAUAUCUUGAAAGACGAAGAAACACUGACAUUAUUUCUCAUUAAAAACAUUGGCUUGUCUGACUCAGUGGUCCACCUUCUGAUCAACUCUCAAGUCCGUCCGGAGCAGUUUGCUCAUGGAGUACCGGAGCUGGCGCUGAAGGACAUCGCCUGCAGCGAGGCCCUCCUGGAGCGCUUCAUCAUCUUUAGCCAGCGACGCGGGGCACAGACUGUGCGCUAUGCCCUGUGCUCCCUUUCCCAGCGCACCCUACAGUGGAUAGAGGACACUCUGUAUGCCAACGUGGACUUCUUCAAGCUCUUCCGUGUGCUUCCCACACUCCUAGACAGCCAUUCUCAAGGUAUCAAUCUGAGAUCUUGGGGAGGAAUAUUAUCUGAUAUGUCACCAAGAAUUCAAGAGUUUAUCCGUCGGCCGAGUAUGCAGGACUUGCUGUGGGUGACCAGGCCCCUCAUGCAGAAUGGUGGUCCAGAGACCUUUACAAAGCUGAUGGGCAUCCUGUCUGACCUCCUGUGUGGCUACCCCGAGGGAGGUGGCUCUCGGGUGCUCUCCUUCAACUGGUAUGAAGACAAUAACUAUAAGGCCUUUCUAGGGAUUGACUCCACAAGGAAGGAUCCUAUCUAUUCUUAUGACAGAAGAACAACAUCCUUUUGUAAUGCAUUGAUCCAGAGCCUGGAGUCAAAUCCUUUAACCAAAAUCGCUUGGAGGGCGGCAAAGCCUUUGCUGAUGGGAAAAAUCCUGUACACUCCUGAUUCACCUGCAGCACGAAGGAUACUGAAGAAUGCCAACUCAACUUUUGAAGAACUGGAGCGCGUUAGGAAGUUGGUCAAAGCUUGGGAAGAAGUAGGGCCCCAGAUCUGGUACUUCUUUGACAAUAGCACACAGAUGAACAUGAUCAGAGAUAUCCUGGGGAAUCCAACAGUAAAAGACUUUUUGAAUAGGCAGCUUGGUGAAGAAGGUAUUACUGCUCAAGCCAUCCUAAACUUCCUCUACAAGGGCCCUCGGGAGAGCCAGGCUGACGACAUGGCCAACUUGAACUGGAGAGACAUAUUUAACAUCACUGAUCGCACCCUCCGCCUGGUCAAUAAAUACCUGGAGUGCUUGGUCCUGGAUAAGUUUGAAAGCUACAAUGAUGAAACUCAGCUCACCCAACGUGCCCUGUCUCUACUGGAGGAAAACAGGUUCUGGGCCGGAGUGGUGUUCCCUGACAUGUAUCCCUGGACCAGCUCUCUACCACCCCACGUGAAGUAUAAGAUCCGAAUGGACAUAGACGUGGUGGAGAAAACCAAUAAGAUUAAAGACAGGUACUGGGAUUCUGGUCCCAGAGCUGAUCCUGUGGAAGAUUUCCGGUACAUCUGGGGUGGGUUUGCCUAUCUGCAGGACAUGGUUGAACAGGGGAUCACAAGGAGCCAGGUGCAGGCGGAGGCUCCAGUUGGAAUCUACCUCCAGCAGAUGCCCUACCCCUGCUUCGUGGACGAUUCUUUCAUGAUCAUCCUGAACCGCUGUUUCCCUAUCUUCAUGGUGCUGGCAUGGAUCUAUUCUGUCUCUAUGACUGUGAAGAGCAUCGUCUUGGAGAAGGAAUUGAGACUGAAGGAGACCUUGAAAAAUCAGGGUGUCUCCAAUGCAGUGAUUUGGUGUACCUGGUUCCUGGACAGCUUCUCCAUCAUGUCAAUGAGCAUCUUCCUCCUGACGAUAUUCAUCAUGCAUGGAAGAAUCCUACAUUACAGCGACCCAUUCAUCCUCUUCCUGUUCUUGUUGGCUUUCUCCACUGCCACCAUCAUGCUAUGCUUCCUGCUCAGCACCUUCUUCUCCAAGGCCAGUGUGGCAGCAGCCUGUAGUGGCGUCAUCUAUUUCACCCUCUACCUGCCACACAUCCUGUGCUUCGCCUGGCAGGACCGCAUGACCGCUGAGCUGAAGAAGGCUGUGAGCCUGCUGUCUCCGGUGGCAUUUGGAUUUGGCACUGAGUACCUGGUUCGCUUUGAAGAGCAAGGCCUGGGGCUGCAGUGGAGCAACAUCGGGAACAGUCCCACGGAAGGGGACGAAUUCAGCUUCCUGAUGUCCAUGCAGAUGAUGCUCCUUGAUGCUGCUGUCUACGGCUUACUCGCUUGGUACCUUGACCAGGUGUUUCCAGGAGACUAUGGAACCCCGCUUCCUUGGUACUUUCUUCUGCAAGAGUCGUAUUGGCUUGGCGGUGAAGGGUGUUCAACCAGAGAAGAAAGAGCCCUGGAAAAGACCGAGCCCCUAACAGAGGAAACGGAGGAUCCGGAACACCCAGAAGGAAUACACGACUCCUUCUUUGAACGUGAGCAUCCAGGGUGGGUUCCUGGGGUAUGUGUGAAGAAUCUGGUGAAGAUUUUUGAGCCCUAUGGCCGGCCAGCUGUGGACCGUCUGAACAUCACCUUCUACGAGAACCAGAUCACCGCAUUCCUCGGCCACAAUGGAGCAGGCAAAACCACCACCUUGUCCAUCCUGACGGGUCUGUUGCCACCAACCUCUGGGACUGUGCUCGUUGGGGGAAGGGACAUUGAAACCAGCCUGGAUGCAAUCCGGCAGAGCCUUGGCAUGUGUCCACAGCACAACAUCCUGUUCCACCACCUCACGGUGGCUGAGCACAUACUGUUCUAUGCCCAGCUGAAAGGAAAGUCCUGGGAGGAGGCCCAGCUGGAGAUGGAGGCCAUGUUGGAGGACACAGGCCUCCACCACAAGCGGAAUGAAGAGGCUCAGGAUCUAUCAGGUGGCAUGCAGAGAAAGCUGUCAGUCACCAUUGCCUUUGUGGGAGAUGCCAAGGUGGUGAUUCUGGACGAACCCACCUCUGGGGUGGACCCUUACUCAAGACGCUCGAUCUGGGACCUGCUCCUGAAGUAUCGCUCAGGCAGAACCAUCAUCAUGUCAACUCACCAUAUGGACGAGGCCGACCUCCUUGGGGAUCGCAUUGCCAUCAUUGCCCAGGGAAGGCUCUACUGCUCAGGCACCCCGCUUUUCCUGAAGAACUGCUUUGGCACGGGCUUGUACUUAACCUUGGUGCGCAAGAUGAAAAACAUCCAGAGCCAAAGGAAAGGCAGUGAGGGGACCUGCAGCUGCGCGUCUAAGAGUUUCUCCACCACUUGUCCAGCCCACGUCGAUGACCUAACUCCAGAACAAGUCCUGGAUGGGGAUGUAAAUGAGCUGAUGGAUGUAGUUCUCCACCAUGUUCCAGAGGCAACGCUGGUGGAGUGCAUUGGUCAAGAACUUAUCUUCCUUCUUCCAAGUAAGAAUUUCAAGCACAGAGCAUAUGCUAGCCUUUUCAGAGAGCUGGAGGAAACGCUGGCUGACCUUGGUCUCAGCAGUUUUGGAAUUUCUGACACUCCCCUGGAAGAGAUUUUUCUGAAGGUCACGGAGGAUUCUGAUUCAGGACCUCUGUUUGCAGGCGGCGCUCAGCAGAAAAGAGAAAACAUCAACCCCCAACACCCCUGCUUGGGUCCCAGAGGGAAGGCCGGACAGACACCCCAGGACUCCAAUGUCUUCUCCCCUGGGGCUCCAGCUGCUCACCCAGAGGGCCAGCCUCCCCCAGAGCCAGAGUGCCCAGGCCCACAGCUCAACACAGGGGCACAGCUGGUCCUCCAGCACGUGCAGGCGCUGCUGGUCAAGCGAUUCCAACACACCAUACGCAGUCACAAGGACUUCCUGGCACAGAUUGUGCUCCCAGCCACUUUUGUGUUUUUGGCUCUGAUGCUGUCUAUCAUUAUCCCUCCUUUUGGCGAAUACCCUGCCUUGACCCUUCACCCCUGGAUGUAUGGGCAGCAGUACACCUUCUUCAGCAUGGAUGAGCCGGGCAGUGAGCAGCUCACGGUACUUGCAGACGUCCUCCUGAAUAAGCCAGGCUUUGGCAACCGCUGUCUGAAGGAAGGGUGGCUUCCGGAGUACCCUUGUGGCAAUUCAACACCCUGGAAGACUCCUUCUGUGUCCCCAAACAUCACCCAGCUGUUCCAGAAGCAGAAAUGGACAGAGGCCAACCCUUCGCCGUCCUGCAGGUGCAGCACCAGGGAGAAGCUCACCAUGCUGCCAGAGUGCCCCGAGGGCGCCGGGGGCCUCCCGCCCCCCCAGAGAACACAGCGCAGCACGGAAAUUCUACAAGACCUGACGGACAGGAACAUCUCCGACUUCUUGGUAAAAACGUAUCCUGCUCUUAUAAGAAGCAGCUUAAAGAGCAAAUUCUGGGUCAAUGAACAGAGGUAUGGAGGAAUUUCCAUCGGAGGAAAGCUCCCAGUCGUCCCCGUCACGGGGGAAGCGCUCGUUGGGUUUUUAAGCGACCUUGGCCGGAUCAUGAAUGUGAGCGGGGGCCCUAUCACUAGAGAGGCCUCUAAAGAAAUACCUGAUUUCCUUCAACAUUUAGAAACUGAAGACAACAUUAAGGUGUGGUUUAAUAACAAAGGCUGGCAUGCCCUGGUCAGCUUUCUCAACGUGGCCCACAACGCCAUCUUACGGGCCAGCCUGCCCAAGGACAGGAGCCCCGAGGAAUACGGAAUCACCGUCAUUAGCCAACCCCUGAACCUGACCAAGGAGCAGCUCUCAGAGAUUACAGUGUUGACCACUUCAGUGGAUGCUGUGGUUGCCAUCUGCGUGAUUUUCUCCAUGUCCUUCGUCCCAGCCAGCUUUGUCCUUUAUUUGAUCCAGGAGCGGGUGAACAAAUCCAAGCACCUCCAGUUUAUCAGUGGAGUGAGCCCCACCACCUACUGGGUGACCAACUUCCUCUGGGACAUUAUGAAUUAUUCCGUGAGUGCUGGGCUGGUGGUGGGCAUCUUCGUCGGGUUUCAGAAGAAAGCCUACACUUCUCCAGAAAACCUUCCUGCCCUUGUGGCACUGCUCCUGUUGUAUGGAUGGGCGGUCAUUCCCAUGAUGUACCCAGCAUCCUUCCUGUUUGAUGUCCCCAGCACAGCCUAUGUGGCUUUAUCUUGUGCUAAUCUGUUCAUCGGCAUCAACAGCAGUGCUAUUACCUUCAUCUUGGAAUUAUUUGAGAAUAACCGGACGCUGCUCAGGUUCAACGCCGUGCUGAGGAAGCUGCUCAUUAUCUUCCCCCACUUCUGCCUGGGCCGGGGCCUCAUUGACCUUGCACUGAGCCAGGCUGUGACAGAUGUCUAUGCCCGGUUUGGUGAGGAGCACUCUGCAAAUCCGUUCCACUGGGACCUGAUUGGGAAGAACCUGUUUGCCAUGGUGGUGGAAGGGGUGGUGUACUUCCUCCUGACUCUCCUGGUCCAGCGCCACUUCUUCCUCUCCCAGUGGAUUGCUGAGCCCACUAAGGGGCCCAUUGUUGAUGAAGAUGAUGAUGUGGCUGAAGAAAGACAAAGAAUUAUUACUGGUGGAAAUAAAACUGACAUCUUAAGGCUACAUGAACUAACCAAGAUUUAUCCAGGCACCUCCAGCCCGGCAGUGGACAGGCUGUGUGUCGGAGUUCGCCCUGGAGAGUGCUUUGGCCUCCUGGGAGUGAAUGGUGCUGGCAAAACAACCACAUUCAAGAUGCUUACUGGGGACACCACAGUGACCUCAGGGGAUGCCACUGUAGCAGGCAAAAGUAUUUUAACCAAUAUUUCUGAAGUCCAUCAAAAUAUGGGCUACUGUCCUCAGUUUGAUGCAAUUGAUGAGCUGCUCACAGGACGAGAACAUCUUUACCUUUAUGCCCGGCUUCGAGGUGUACCAGCAGAGGAAAUCGAAAAGGUUGCAAACUGGAGUAUUAAGAGCCUGGGCCUGACUGUCUACGCCGACUGCCUGGCUGGCACAUACAGUGGGGGCAACAAGCGGAAACUCUCCACAGCCAUCGCGCUCAUUGGCUGCCCGCCCCUGGUGCUGCUGGACGAGCCCACCACAGGGAUGGACCCCCAGGCACGCCGCAUGCUGUGGAAUGUCAUCGUGAGCAUCAUCAGAGAAGGGAGGGCUGUGGUCCUCACAUCCCACAGCAUGGAAGAAUGUGAGGCGCUGUGUACCCGGCUGGCCAUCAUGGUAAAGGGCGCCUUUCGAUGUAUGGGCACCAUUCAGCAUCUCAAGUCCAAGUAAGCAGAUGGCGGGGCGUGCGCCUUGUUGCCUCUGUGGAUCCAACCAGAUCCUAUGUUCUCCAUUGACACUUGGAAGAGUCCUGCUGCCCUGUCAUCCCCUGGGGCAGAGGCAGGUGGUGGCUGGGCCUCAUUCUCCAGCAGCAGAUGGAGAAGUCCAUUAUGCUGAUAAGAAACUCCUCUAUAUUGGCCUAAUUUCCUGUGGUCGAAGACUCACCCAAUUCUCUGGAUGGGGUGUCUGAUCAGGACACAUGCAGAGCCUGGCUGGGACGAGGGAGGGCCACUACCACUGCUUCAGUAUUCCACCACUUAUCCCAACAGAUCCAGGACCUGUGGCUUAUUUACUAAGAGUCCACUCCAAUGUAGGAAUGGUUAGGAGACCAACUGGCCUGAGGACCUGUUUUUGUUUUUGUUUUUAGAAUAUUGUAUGCUUUUGAGUUUGAAAAAAGACCAUAUGUUAUACGACAAACCAACAACGCCAGUAAUCUUGAGUAGAAUUAUCCUUACUCCGUACCCACACAUUGUAAACUAUUGUAGAUAAUUCCUUAUUAUUAAGAGUUUGCAUGCCAAAGCUAACAGUUUAAGAUUAUCAGCAUAUUGCCAUGCUCAUUCACAUUCUGAUAAGCUUUAUAACCUAGAAAAGAGCAGAGUUACAAUUAUUUAACAAACACUUAUUAAGAGCUCAGCAUAUAAGUCACUAAGCUGGUUGGUGGAGGAACAGCACAUAACCCACCUUAUCUAUGCUGAGAUGCACCCACGGGAGGGUGUUGCACAGAAAAUGUCAUCCUUUCAUAUGUGUCAGAGCAGAUAAAUGACUGAGAGAAAGGUCUAAUAGAUUAGCUGCUUGUGGCAAGUGGACAUUUGACCCAUGAUUUAUUGAGCAACUACAGCUUGGACACUGCAUAGAUAUCUAUAGAAAUAGCAGCAUGUCAGGUCACCAGACCUGUGUCAGCAACUUCCUGUGUCCAGCUGCUGGAGAAAGGGAAGUUCUCCUAUUCCUUUCCCUCUAACUCCUCAAUAUCUGCAUGAUAGAGGAGGUGAGAGAGGAGUGUUGCCUGUGUGGAGGGAUGGCGAGUUUUCUGGAGCUGAAAGAUUUGGAGAUGGCUAUAUCGUCACAAUGAAGAUCAGAUCCCCGAAGGACGACCUGCUUCCUGACCUGAAC